GAGCNCGCACUAACGCCCUGUCGUCCUUUUCUUCCCCGUGUGUGUCCAAGCAGAGCAGAAGAGCUACAAAGAGGACAAGGACCUGCGGUUCAGCGACCUGGAGGAGGAGGAGGAAGAGGAGGAGGAGGCGGGGAAGCCGGAGAAGGGCCGGACCAGCUCCCUGCAGGAAGCCCCCAGCCUGGGCGCGGCACUGCCCGAGGCUCCGCGGAGCGACUGCAGCCUGCCCGGCCCCUUCCACGCCUUUCCUUGUGCCAAGGCCCCCUCCGCGGACUUCGCCCCCGCCUCCUUGGCCGGCCCGCCGCCGCCCUACGCGCCCGCGGAGAAGCCGCGCAUCUGGUCGCUGGCGCGCACGGCCGGGGCCAGCGCGGCGCACCGGGGCAGCCCCGAGGGCCGCGGCGCGGAGGGAGGCGGCGGCGCGGCGGGGGAGCAACCCCUGCCCGCCAAGGCCUUCCGGAGCUCCGCUUUCAACCUGCAGCCGCUCCCGCGAAGCUGCGCGUCCCACCGCGGCCUGGGGGAGCCGUGCCAGUUCGCGGCGGCGGGCGAAGGUACCCGCGGCGGCGGGGCCGCGGGGACGGGCGGGACCGCGGGCCGGGCCGGGACACAGGGCGCGGCGUGAGCCCGCCCACGCAGUGACACCCCCGGUGUUCGGCCGUGCCCAGGUGUCAAGUGCAGGACGCCGAGGCUUCCCCGCUCCAGGCGAGCGGGCAGGGGAGGACGGGCGGGACCCGGGCCGUGCCCACCGCGAGCCGCUUGUGUCUGUGCAGGCUUCGGGCGGGGCGCCAAGGGCGGCCCGGGAGGCACCGAGCUGGGUGGGACCUGCCUGGACAGGUUGCGGACGGCGUUCCGGCCCGUGCUGCGGAGGUGAGGGCCGCCCGCCCCAUCCUGGGCGCUGGCGAGGGGGCUCCGGCUGUAACGAAGCACUCGGCUUGACGCAACGAAAGAAACCUCUCCCCGGGCCGGCGAUAGCGUCGCGGCUCCGCCUGCCCUGCCCUCGCCGGGGAAGGGCCGCCGCGGCACAACGUGCUGCGCACAUGGGGCCGAGGGGCACGGCGGGCGGGGCGGCCGCAGGACCGGCGCCUCCCCGCCGCUCGCCGCCAUUCAAUAUUGUCCGUCGACGUCUUUGCAAAAAGGAAGAAAAAACCCCACCCUAAUAUUUUCUCUUUUUCCCCCACGUCGUGAUUUGUUUCUCCUUUUCCUCCCAAACCUGCGCUCUCUGCUCAGCGCCCUGCUCUGCCAAGGGGCACCAGUUUGCAGUUGCUCCGCGCCAUCCCGGGGAGGAGGAGGAGGAGGAGGAGAAGCGGCGCAGGUUACGCCGGACUGUUUCUUUCCCGUCUCUGUACAUAGAUACCGCUGAAAGUAUUUUUCAGAGUCUCUAAUUAAUACGGAUGAGCUGAACGCCACGAAGCCGUCAGUCACCUCGGAGCUCUCCAGCCAGGAGCCGGCACAGCCCGGGAGGAGCGGCCCCGGGCACCCGCCACCCGCCCUGGGGCACGGCCGGGGCACCCCCGGGCAGAGGGCGGCGACCGGGCGGCGAAGUAGGACGUUGUUAGUGGGUCACCGCCGUCAGUCAGUCAAAAGAGCAGUGCUGCACUUUACAGGACAGACGAGAAAGGGAAACCGUAUCUCUGCAUUAUUUCUGUUUAAUUAAAAGUGUCAUCAAACACUUUGUGUUCAGACUAAUAAACCAAGCAGGGAUGAGGAAAGAAUGUUUCUUUGUUCCUGUCUCUAGAAGCAGUGGCAAUAAUUUAAAUUAAUAACUGUGGUAAUUAAGAGGUCAUCUAUAGAUCAACCCGAUACCUGCUAUUUCCAAGUUCACCGGGGUCAGCAUUUACAUUAAGUCAUUUGUGGUCAAUAGAGUCCAAUGAAUUCUGCCUUAAUAAAUCAGGGAAAUCAAUCUUGAAUAUCGAGUAGACUUCUAUAUGUUUACUAAAGGCUACUCAAGACGAGUGGGGCUGCAUAAGUGGGAGCCCUCUGGGUUUGCGACCGGAGAAACAAUUCGUGGGGGAAAGGAGGAGCUGCAGGUCAACGCAGGGAGAUGUGACGGGGCUGCCCGCGGCUUCCGCCCCGAUAGCAGCUCCCUUCCCGGGAGCGGGGCAGUCCCGGCUGCGGGGGCUCUGUGAAAGAAGGCAAGCUUUGGCGGGCUUUGGAGGAUCCUGGGGGGGAAAGGGAGGGAGAGGUAAGUGCACACGAGGGCAGCAGGUGACGGCGCGGCCGGGAGCGGGGCUGGGCCCGUCGGGAGCCCCGCCGCAGAUGCCCGGCCUCGGGGCUUGCCCGCACUCCGGAGCAGCUCUGGACAAGAGGCGGCGCAGCAGUAGCAGCAGUCUGUUGCAGUGACCCGAAGCUUAGAGAAGGGGAAAUUAAGCUGCGAAAAGAUAAACAUUAUUUCAAGUCGGAUUUGAAGGAUUAGGGCUUGUAAUAAAGAGUAUUAGGCCCUUUCGAAGAGUUCUUGCAAGGCGACUUUUCCGCCCCUCCUCUCCCACCGGAGAGGACAGGUAUUAUCUGCCUUGGGAACACAUGUGCAGGUUUCCCACGCGUGUCCGCACGGCAGAGCCAGGCCGGGCCUCCCUCCCAGCUGUGUCCCGGCCGCCUUCGCCCGUCGUGCAGGGGAGCGAUCCGGCUUCCUCCGGUUCCGUUUCCCGGGGGCUUUGGAAGAGGCUCCCCGGGGAGGCAGCUCUGCAUCGCCCUCCUGAGCUGCUCACGGGCGCCGAAACCUGCACGGCCCCCGCAGCCCGGGGCCGGCCAGGAGCUCCCUUGAGCGGCCAGCUCUGCCCCCAGCCCUGGAAUCCCCCGGCCGCGAAGCCCGCGGCAGGAGUUAAUUAGGCGGGUGCAGGCCUCGGGCUCUCUUUAAGGCAGGCACGAAGGUAACCUGCAGGAGUCUUUAAGACUUUUGUUUUUUAUACAUUACUUUUACUCCCCUUUUAUUAAAGGUCAAGGGAGCGAGAUGCAGAUUAUCCCGCCCGCCCAGGACUCCCCUGCAAUCUGUCACACCGGCAAGAUAUGUUUCGCAAAUCUCUCAAAAUAUAAUCUCCGGGAAUCAUAUUCAGAAUACUGUUUUGAUUAAAAACCAGAACGGGGAUUGAUGGAAAACUAAUACCGGCAGCGGAGCCUGCGCUCAGGCACAAAACUAAAAUAAGGGGCUCGCACGAACAGAUUCGGCGCCCCCAAAGCCAUAACAAACGUAUUUAAACCGUCUCUGUCUGAGCUUUGCUACGAGAUGGGCUUUUUAAUGCCGCUUCUCUGGGAAGUGAACUCGCGCUGUCCGGCGGAGCGGGGGCAGUCGGGCUCUGCCAGGCGGGCACUCGGAGCCUGCUGCUCGGGGAGAUGGGGCCGGUGCGGGGUGCCCCGGGCCCGUCCGGGCGAGAAGCAAGCCGGGCGGGCACGGUGAAGCCCCCGCGGAGCCGGGGGACCGCAGUAGCGCACCGCUCACACACAUACACACACACAUACACACCCCACCCCCUCCGGGCACCCCACUUGGCUCCGGAGGGUCGGGUCUCCCCCUUUCCGCAGCCCGCGGGGACGCGCUGGCACCGGCCGCCGCAGCCCCGCAUCGCCCCCCAAUUAGCGGCCGCGGGGGCGGGCGGGGGCGGCUCGUUGACGCGUCCCCCGCUGGGGUGGGAAGUUUCUAAAACAAAGUCGCCGGGCUAAUGGCCCCGGGCGGGAGCGGCGGGGCCGCGCACACUCCACUGCGCCCGCUCAAAGCCAGCGCGACCGCGGGGCCGCUGCCGCCUCCGCCGCGCUCGCUAAUGAAGUUUUGUCAAAGACAAUUACGGGCCCGGCGGGGGCAGGAGGCCGCGAUGAAAAGGCGGCUUUGUGCGGCCGAGACGGCGCGGCUCCCCGGCCACCCCCGGCCCUUCCUGCGCCCCCGCGGUGACCCCCGCGCCCGGCCCCGCUCCCCGCGGGGACAGCGGCCCUGGUGCCCGGCCCCCAGGUAAGCGCAGAGACGGGCCGGUGCCGGCAGCGAGACUCCCAGAGCUGCAGUUUGUCACCCGGUCCACCGAUGAGCGAAGCAAGCUCUGAAAAGGGAGGGCUGAGGCAGCGGGCAGCCCCUGCUUCCUCCCGCACCCCUGGCUGAGGGUUUCUGUCUCCUCUCCCCCGCCACAGAGGGGCUGCUGCAGCCAAUUCCUGCUUCAGCGUUCUUGCAUUCAGCUGUUGGGAGAAUUCGUCUGAAAACCACCAAACGAGCUGGCUAAAUCUGUUUAAAUAUACACCGGAGAGAUAGGAAAUUGGGGUCUUGGACUGCAGCUGCCUUCAGCUGCAUCUGAGCCAGAGGAGGUGUGGAAGAACGGGAUAAUCACCAUCUUUCAUCACCUUCCCCAAACUCCCAGCACUGCCUGCUGUCCUCCAUCCCAGGUCCUUGGUCAUCUCACCCCCCUGCCAUCCUCAGCCAACAUGGUCAGCACAAAACACACUGGCACUCUCCUAGAGAGGACAGGGAACCAUUUCUGAGUUGUGAGAAAAUCUGGACAAGACAAGUAACCAGCCAGAUUAUUGCUUCCCAACCUUUGAAGCACAGUCCUCUUUUUAGGAUCAUAAGAGAGAAUAAACAUUCCUUUACUGCUGCACAAGCACAUGAGGAGAAUGGCCCUGGCUCUGAAAUGGUCUGGAUCCCUCACCCCCAGCUGGCUCGUAUUUGCCUGUUGUCCUGUUCCCCUACAGGUUUCCCAUCCCACAAUAAAGGCAUGAAUUUUACUGGUUUUGCAGCAACAAACCCCUUGAAGAUCCCUUUUCAAAGGUGGCUACCACAGAAGCUUUAGCUUGAUGUGGCUAUUGAGGUUUUGGAGCAGUGGGUUGGAGCAAUUAGUUCAAAAUGAUCUCAAAAACUGCACAAGCAGCUCGGCAGGCCAGGUGUCAUUUCAG
ensembl:lncRNA